AAGUGGAGCAAUCCAUGAGUACAGUGGCGUACGGGUGAGUAACACGUGACUAACCUACCCUCGAGUGGGGAAUAACCUCGGGAAACCGGGGCUAACACCGCAUAACAUCUACGGAUCAAAUGCGCAAGCAGCUUGAGGAGGGGGUCGCGGCCGAUUAGCUAGUUGGCGGGGUAAUGGCCCACCAAGGCAAUGAUCGGUAGCCGGCCUGAGAGGGCGCACGGCCACACUGGAACUGAAACACGGUCCAGACUCCUACGGGAGGCAGCAGUGGGGAAUUUUGCGCAAUGGGGGAAACCCUGACGCAGCAACGCCGCGUGGAGGAUGAAGCCCCUUGGG
rnacentral:rRNA from 1 species